ACGAUUUUCAUGCCGUGGAGUGUGUUCCCUUUGUCUUGGGUGGUCGUGGAAAGUUUUGUGGACGUCGCAAUGAAAUAAUGCGUAUUAUUAGCGUGCCUCAGCUCGUCCAUUACGCAACGGCAUGUAUGCUGGGAUCACCAUCGUCGACGCAGCACUGGCAACUCGGAGAGCUCUUUUCGAUCUCAUCGUACUGUUCAAAAGGGUGAGGCCUUGGCCCGCAACAGUGUCCACUAAAAGGAGGAGCCCCCAGAAAUGCAGACCCCAUACGAGUUCCUGCAGCAGCAUGGCUGGAUGCUCAUGUCAGGCUUCACCGUGGCAGUGUACCAGGUGGAACCAACGAGGUUAAAAGCUAGCCUUUCCUCGCUGCUUUACCAGGAAGUGAAGUAGUGGGCGAUCAUGUAAGAAUGAACUUGCAACAUGUGAGCAGUAGCCAAAGCUUUAUACAGGUCAUGCUGGUGGUAAAAACUGGAAUGCUGAGACAAACCACAUUAUUUAUUUAUUUAGGCAUUAAAUAAUUUACAUUUAUUUGUUUAUACCUCACUAAAGCCUUACAUGCCUCCAGGAAGCAAUUAGGUAAAAUG